AGAGUUUGAUCCUGGCUCAGGAUGAACGCUGGCGGCGUGCUUAACACAUGCAAGUCGAACGGGGUGCUCAUGACGGAGGAUUCGUCCAACGGAUUGAGUUACCUAGUGGCGGACGGGUGAGUAACGCGUGAGGAACCUGCCUUGGAGAGGGGAAUAACACUCCGAAAGGAGUGCUAAUACCGCAUGAUGCAGUUGGGUCGCAUGGCUCUGACUGCCAAAGAUUUAUCGCUCUGAGAUGGCCUCGCGUCUGAUUAGCUAGUAGGCGGGGUAACGGCCCACCUAGGCGACGAUCAGUAGCCGGACUGAGAGGUUGACCGGCCACAUUGGGACUGAGACACGGCCCAGACUCCUACGGGAGGCAGCAGUGGGGAAUAUUGGGCAAUGGGCGCAAGCCUGACCCAGCAACGCCGCGUGAAGGAAGAAGGCUUUCGGGUUGUAAACUUCUUUUGUCGGGGACGAAACAAAUGACGGUACCCGACGAAUAAGCCACGGCUAACUACGUGCCAGCAGCCGCGGU
rnacentral:rRNA from 1 species